rnacentral:rRNA from 1 species
UACGAAGGGGGCUAGCGUUGUUCGGAAUUACUUGGCGUAAAGCGCACGUAGGCGGAUUGUUAAGUCGGGGGUGAAAUCCUGAGGCUCAACCUCAGAACUGCCUUCGAUACUGGCAAUCUCGAGUCCGGAAGAGGUUGGUGGAACAGCUAGUGUAGAGGUGAAAUUCGUAGAUAUUAGCUAGAACACCAGUGGCGAAGGCGGCCAACUGGUCCGGUACUGACGCUGAGGUGCGAAAGCGUGGGUAGCAAACAGG